rnacentral:rRNA from 1 species
CGGACGGGUGAGUAACACGUGGAUAACCUACCUAUAAGACUGGGAUAACUUCGGGAAACCGGAGCUAAUACCGGAUAAUAUUUUGAACCGCAUGGUUCAAAAGUGAAAGACGGUCUUGCUGUCACUUAUAGAUGUAUCCGCGCUGCAUUAGCUAGUUGGUAAGGUAACGGCUUACCAAGGCAACGAUGCAUAGCCGACCUGAGAGGGUGAUCGGCCACACUGGAACUGAGACACGGUCCAG